rnacentral:rRNA from 1 species
GUGGGGAAUUUUGGACAAUGGGCGAAAGCCUGAUCCAGCCAUGCCGCGUGCAGGAUGAAGGCCUUCGGGUUGUAAACUGCUUUUGUACGGAACGAAAAGACUCCUUCUAAUAAAGGGGGUCCAUGACGGUACCGUAAGAAUAAGCACCGGCUAACUACGUGCCAGCAGCCGCGGUAAUACGUAGGGUGCAAGCGUUAAUCGGAAUUACUGGGCGUAAAGCGUGCGCAGGCGGUUAUAUAAGACAGAUGUGAAAUCCCCGGGCUCAACCUGGGAACUGCAUUUGUGACUGUAUAGCUAGAGUACGGUAGAGGGGGAUGGAAUUCCGCGUGUAGCAGUGAAAUGCGUAGAUAUGCGGAGGAACACCGAUGGCGAAGGCAAUCCCCUGGGCCUACACUGACGCUCAUGCACGAAAGCGUGGGGAGCAAACAGGAUUAGAUACCCUAGUAGUCC